GAUCAUGGCUCAGAUUGAACGCUGUCGGCAGGCCUAACACAUGCAAGUCGAACGGUAACAGGAAGAAGCUUGCUUCUUUGCUGACGAGUGGCGGACGGGUGAGUAAUGUCUGGGAAACUGCCUGAUGGAGGGGGAUAACUACUGGAAACGGUAGCUAAUACCGCAUAACGUCGCAAGACCAAAGAGGGGGACCUUCGGCCUCUUGCCAUCGGAUGUGCCCGAGAUGGGAUUAGCUAGUAGGG
rnacentral:rRNA from 1 species